AUUGAACGCUGGCGGCAGGCCUAACACAUGCAAGUCGAGCGGAGCGGCGGAGGGGUGAGUAAUGCCAAGGAAUCUGCCCGGUCGUGGGGGAUAACGACCGCAACCGGGCGCUAAUACCGCAAACUAUCAGACUAGCAUAGGUCGGAUUAGCUAGUGGUUGGGGUAAAGGACAACCAAGGCGACGAUCCGUAACUGGUCUGAGAGGAUGAGCAGUCACACUGGAACUGAGACACGGUCCAGACUCCUACGGGAGGCAGCAGUGGGGAAUAUUGGACAAGGGGCGAAAGCCUGAUCCAGCCAUGCCGCGUGUGUGAAGAAGGUCUUCGGAUUGUAAAGCACUUUAAGUUGGGAGGCGUUACCAGCAGAAUAAGCUCCGGCUAACUUCGUGCCAGCAGCCGCGGUAAUUC
rnacentral:rRNA from 1 species